UACGAAGGGGGCUAGCGUUGCUCGGAAUCACUGGGCGUAAAGGGUGCGUAGGCGGGUCUUUAAGUCAGGGUGAAUCCUGGAGCUCAACUCCAGAACUGCCUUUGAUACUGAAGAUCUUGAGUUCGGGAGAGGUGAGUGGAACUGCGAGUGUAGAGGUGAAAUUCGUAGAUAUUCGCAAGAACACCAGUGGCGAAGGCGGACUCACUGGCCCGAUACUGACGCUGAGGCACGAAAGCGAUGGGGA
rnacentral:rRNA from 1 species